rnacentral:rRNA from 1 species
GAUGAACGCUAGCUACAGGCUUAACACAUGCAAGUCGAGGGACCGGCGCACGUGUGAGUAACACGUAUCCAACCUGCCCUUUACUCGAGGAUAGCCUUACGAAAGAAAGAUUAAUACCCGAUAUAAAGGAUGGGGAUGCGUUCCAUUAGGUUGUUGGUGAGGUACCGGCCAACCAAGCCUGCGAUGGAUAGGGGUUCUGAUCGGAAGGCCCCCCACAUUGGAACUGAGACACUGUCCAAACUCCUACGGGGGGCAGAAGUGAGGAAUAUUGGUCAAUGGGCGUUAGCCUGAACCAGCCAAGUAGCGUGAAGGAGGAAGGCGUAGGGGUCGUAAACUUCUUUUAUAGAAGAAUAUGUAUUAUAUGAAUAAGGAUCGGCUAACUCCGUGCCAGCAGCCGCGGUAAUUC